GUGCACAUUUCAUUGACCUGCUUUCUUUAUAUGUGAGCAGUGUUAUUUUUUUUUUUAUGUGUUAUACAAAUAGUUGAAGGUUGAUUAGCAGUAUAACUAUAAAUAGUAAGGCGGACGGUCUCCUUCAGACAAAA